AACUUUCAACAAUGGAUCUCUUGGCUCUCGCAUCGAUGAAGAACACAGCGAAAUGUGAUAAGUAAUGUGAAUUGCAGAAUCCAGUGAAUCAUCGAAUCUUUGAACUCAUCUUGCGCUCCUUGGCAUUCCAAGGAGCAUGCCUGUUUGAGUGUCGUUAAACUAUCAAAACACUUUUCUUAGGUGUUUUGGACAUUGGGAGCAUCUUGCUGGUAUGU
rnacentral:rRNA from 1 species